UAGUUUUUUCUAUGACCUUUUUCAUGAAAUACUAAUGAUCUUCUUUUCUUUUCAUGCAGGAAGCAUCUACUGUUACCGCGGGUUCAGGACGUGCCCUUGGCUUUGGUUUCAUCGUCUUUGCAAAUCCUUCUGUUGCAGAGAGAAUGGUCAUGGAGAAACACAUAAUUGAUGGCCGCAGGGGUGAUUGGCGAACUCUUUCAGCUCUUUUAUGAGUUGUAUUGUGGCUUUUAAAUAGGGUCAACUACUGUAAACUCUGUCCCUCCGUAAAGACACAUGAAGCUGAUUUUCUGUGCAAAGCUCAGAUUGUUGGGGUCCCUCAGCAAAAUGGAUGGUCAUUCGUUUCUUGAUGCAACAUGAAGCUCCACAGAUCCAGAUACCCCUCCGGUGCAACAGAGGUGUUUCUCCAAACGGGUGAACAGUGUCACAUUCGUGGUCUUCGACAGGGAGAUGACAAAACUCACCAAGUAAGAUGCAGCCACUCUAGCUCUUGAGGAGAUUAGUGGCGAUGGAGUGCCAGCGCUACCAAGUUGCCUUGAAGAGCUAGCUGGCAAGUAAUGCGUUUUCCAGAUUUGUGUCACUCCAUACAGUUUCAACCCCAACCACCGUACCGUAUCUUCACCAUCUCUGCACACAUACAAUAUCUCCUUCGGCACUCAGCCACAGAGUGGUGGCAGCAACCAAGCUCCUUUUUGGAUGUCCAAGCUGGAGAACCAACAGCAACUUCUAGCUACACCGUUGAUGGGGGGGAAGCGAGCAAUAGGAGUUGAUGAAGCAAAUACACUUGGCUCUGAAGACGCAGAAAAAACUGCAGACGCCCCCAAUGAAUAAGAGUUUCAAGUCCAUCAAACCGGCAUGCCCACUUAGCUUUCGUGUCAACUGAAAUAUAUAUUUUCCUAUGUUUUAGUACUUCAAACUAUGGUUGUGUCUUCAUAUUAUCUGCAAACUAUCUCUCAACUUUGAAAUUAAAUAAAGAGAAAGUUCACGUGGAUUUGCAUCUCUAGAUAAAGUCAUAAAUAAGUCCAACGUUUUUCAUUUGACUGAUCAAUGGGCCUACAUAUAACUCAGUUAUAUAACCAAUGUUUAGGUUUAUCUCAAACAACAGAAUCUGCAUUUAACUUUUAAAAUUACGUUUUUUCAUACCUAUUACGGUUCAGCCAAACCUCUUAUAAACCGUAUGCAACUUUAAACAAAAUGUUUUAUACUUCAAUGGGUACACAAAGAAUGACAUGAUUUUUUUGUAAAAUGAGACCAAUGGUAUGCGUACGAAGGUUAAAAAAAAACGUUCAACAUGUUCUGAUAUAAAAUGGAACCUACUAGGCUACUAAUACAUCCAAACUGCAUCCAAAAUUAUAAUAUUUUUUUUUUUGAACGACUAAUAUUUCUUUUAA